AUUGAACGCUGGCGGCAGGCCUAACACAUGCAAGUCGAGCGGAUGAAGAGAGCUUGCUCUCUGAUUCAGCGGCGGACGGGUGAGUAAUGCCUAGGAAUCUGCCUGGUAGUGGGGGACAACGUUUCGAAAGGAACGCUAAUACCGCAUACGUCCUACGGGAGAAAGUGGGGGAUCUUCGGACCUCACGCUAUCAGAUGAGCCUAGGUACGAUUAGCUAGUUGGUGAGGUAAAGGCUCACGAAGGCGACGAUCGUUAACUGGUCUGAGAGGAUGAACAGUAAGACAGGAACUGAGACACGGACCGGACUCCUACGGGAGGCAGCAGUGGGGAAUAUUGGAGAAUGGGCGAAAGCCUGAUCCAGCCAUGCCAGGUGUGUGAAGAAGGUCUUCGUAUUGUAAAGCACUUAAAGUUAGGAGGAAGGGCAGUAAUUUAAUACCUUGCUGUUUUGACGUUACCGACAGAAUAAGCACCGGCUAACUUCGUGCCAGCCGCCGCGGUAA
rnacentral:rRNA from 1 species